rnacentral:misc_RNA from 1 species
GGCUAUCAACGAAGGCAAGCACAUCGACCCGUUGCUCGAGUGCCUCAAGGAGUGGAACGGCGAGCCCCUUCCCAUCAACUAAGCCAAGAUCCCAUCGCCAUUGCCAUUGCCAUACACCCAUCAUCGAGGAGGAGAGGAGACUAAAAAUAAAAGAAAACGAACCGCUUCGUGUAUCUUCAGACAAAAAAGACCCUGUAUUUUCUUCGUUCGUUGCCGUUUGGUUUAUAGUGAUCUCGUGUUCUUUGUGUUAGCUGCUCUGCUCAGCUUGCCAGCCAUGGCGGCAAAGCAAGCGGCUUUUCUA